rnacentral:rRNA from 1 species
CACGUAGGGGGGCGAGCGUUGUCCGGAUUUAUUGGGCGUAAAGAGCUCGUAGGCGGCUCAGUAAGUCAGGUGUGAAAACUCCAGGCUCAACCUGGAGACGCCACCUGAUACUGCUGUGGCUAGAGUCCGGUAGGGGAGCAUGGAAUUCCUGGUGUAGCGGUGAAAUGCGCAGAUAUCAGGAGGAACACCAGUGGCGGAAGGCGGUGCUCUGGGCCGGAACUGACGCUGAGGAGCGAAAGCGUGGGGAGCAAACAGG